rnacentral:rRNA from 1 species
ACUACUAUGUGUGAAUCAUCGAAUCUUUGAACGCAUCUUGCACUUUUCAGGUCUCCUGAAAAGUAUACUUGUUUGAGUAUCAUAAACACACUCUCUAAGCUAGUCUUGGGAAUUGAGACGUCAUGUUAGCCUGCUAACUUGUGUCUUUUAAUUGAUAUGUCCAGUGUUCUGUGAGGCAGCAAUGCCAUACAGAAGCCUACUCAAUCAAAUGUGAGAUAAACAUCGCACAAAGUAGUUGACAGGUUAAGCUAGACUACGCUCAGAGACGCAAGUCUCAACCUCUGAUCUGUGAUCUCAAAUCAAGUAAGACUACCCGCUGAACUUAAGCAUAUCAAUAAGCGGAGG